AACGAACGCUGGCGGCAUGCCUAACACAUGCAAGUCGAACGAGACCUUCGUGUCUAGUGGCGCACGGGUGCGUAACGCGUGGGAACCUGCCCUUAGGUUCGGAAUAACUCCCCGAAAGGGGUGCUAAUACCGGAUAAUGUCUUCGGACCACAGAUUUAUCGCCUUUGGGUGGGCCCGCGUUGGUUUAGCUAGUUGGUAGGGUAAAAGCCUACCAAGGCGACGAUCCAUAGCUGGUCUGAGAGGAUGAGCAGCCACACUGGGACUGAGACACGGCCCAGACUCCUACGGGAGGGAGCAGUGGGGAAUAUUGGACAAUGGGCGAAAGCCUGAUCCAGCAAUGCCGCGUGAGUGAUGAAGGCCUUAGGGUUGUAAAGCUCUUUUACCCGGGAUGAUAAUGACAGUACCGGGAGAAUAAGCACCGGCUAACUCCGUG
rnacentral:rRNA from 1 species